rnacentral:lncRNA from 1 species
GGCUGGGCUGGCUGCAGAUAGGCAGGCCCUGCGGUGGGCGGCUGCCUCGGCCCCGGAUGGCUGUCUCCACAGAGGGCUGGCACUGGACCCUGCCUGGGGCACCCCACUUGAACCCCUACUCCCGGCCUCAGCUCUGGGACUCUGAACCCAGCACCUGCAAAGAGCCUGGCUGUGGGGACCCUUGGCUGCAGCAUCACAUUUAACCCUCCUUGGAAUGCUACAGGGAGCAUCCAGCAGACGGGAAGACAGAUGAUGCUGGAGACUGAGGAGCGACCUGCUGGAAGGAGAACAGUCCUUGGGGCGGAAUUCUGAGUGGGAUCCAACACAUUCAACAGCCGAUUGUGGAAUGAACAAACAACAGCUCAGCGCUUCCUUCUCCAAUGGGAUUAACUCUGCUUUCUCCUGCCCAGAGGGGGGGUUGGCCGCAGAGGAGCCAGGACAGUGCUCUGUCCCCUGUGUUCCAGUCCACAUCCCCCUCACCCCCGCCUGUCCUCAUGGUCUACGUGCCCAUGGGGAUACACUGGCCUGUGCAUUGCUUCCUGCUGGGUCUCAGACUCGGGGCUGUGGCAGAUGGGGACAGGGCCUGUCCUGGCACCAUCUGCCAAUUCCCUUUGUACUCCCAGUCCAUGAGGAAGUUGACUCUGCCCUGAAAACGACUGUUCCUGUGGUCCAUAAACAAAGGAAUGGUGAGCCAGGCAUGAGCUGUGGGCCCCAGGGGUGGGGCUGGGGGUCACCGUAGCAGAGGUAGCUGAGACUGUGGGAGGGAGGCUGGUGCCUCCUUGGUCCCCCUGAGGAUUUCAUGCCUGAUUUCUGGCACUGCCCAGCCUCUGCUCCAACCUCUCUGGAGGCAAAGGAGGUAACAGGAGGGCACAAGGCCAGGAAGUGUCAUUGGGAGCAAGGAAGGCGGCUGGUGGGCUAGCAGGAAAUGGGAUGGUCUGUGAGACCAGAUUAGUAGCAGAGGAGGAAGCAACAGUGGAGGCAGUGGGGGUGGGAUGGCGGGUGGGACGACAAGGCCUGGGGACGCCCACCUGGCCUCUGCCAGGAGGAAGCCUGACCCGACAGGGAGCGCUGCUUGGGGAGGUACAGGUGUGGGGGUUGCAGACCCAGGUUUGGAUCCUAGCAUGACCCGUUGCUGCCUGCAUGACCUGGGCAGCCGACUUGCCUCUCUGAGCUUCUUUCCUCACCUGUGAAAUGAGUUAUCUGUUCAGACUUUGCAGGCCGUUUGGAAGAUGAAAUGAGACAAUGAAAAUAAAUGACAG